CAUGUAGUGGCUACCUAGCAGAAUGGAAUGAUGAACCUCUUGGUGCAGUUAUCGUAUGAUACAGUUCUUCUAUCAUGGAUCCCUACCGGACGGAGGUCAUGGAUAACUCGUCAAACCCCAUCGUCUGCCAUAUGUCAAGAUUUAUUCAACUUAAGUUCGAGAGUGGAAAACUUUUUCUCCACUGUUCGUACUACCCCGGCUGAGGUCUUACUAACUCAGUCUUAUAAAUCACAUAGGAUCACUUCUCAUCUACCAAGGUCGAUAGAUUCCAUGUAGGUGCAUACCCUACUCCUACAGUGAACCUACUGCAGCUAAUCUACACUACGAGAACCCAUAUGGCUAGAGACCAUGUAUAUGUGCAGUUAAACUAUAACAACCUCACUGUGAAUAGCCGAAGCACCGCAGGUCAAAGGACCAGUCACACUACUGCAACAUCAAGCAAGUCACUGAUGAGUGGAUAGACAUUCAAGUGACUUCUUGUUUUGGUCACGUUCAGUACUCUUGUUCUCUAACAAGCACCUGUACCAAGGUCCGCCGUACCGGUCCGGUCCGGCGUACCGGUCGCCGGCCGGACCGGUACGGUACCGGCCGGGCUCCGCGAGCCAGACUUUUUUUUUUU
rnacentral:lncRNA from 1 species